CCCUGUCUCCAGUGGGCGUCUUGGGCCCCGGCUCUAUUCUGGGCUGCGGGCCUGGGAAGGGCUCGCCGGGUGCCAAAUGAGCUGUCCUAACUCUGCGGGGCUGCAGCUUCCUGCAUGAUGCUGGGGAGCUUGGCGCCUGACCCAGGAUCUAGAAGGCACUCUGGGCAGGCCGCGCUCCGCCCACGAAGGUACCCAACCCUCUGGGAUAGAUGCAGGAAGCGAUGGUUAAGACCCAUUUUCACCCAACUUCUCGCCGCAGGUCUGGCUUACCACACGCUCCUCCCCAUUCCCAGUGAGCCGCUUUUUGCAGCACCAGGCGAACACUUACACCAGUGCUUUGUAAAGGAAUCUUAUUGUCCACCCCGUGUCUUGGCAAAAGAACAGUGAUCACACAGAUUCCUACUUGGGCUCUUUCCUUUAAUCUUCGGAGGCUGAGUUUGCCCAACUCAGGUUUAACCACCAAGGACUCUGAGAGCUGGCAGGUCUGAGUAACCCUGGUAACAAUUCUCUUCACCUUAUCAAAACCUGAGCUAAAACCAAUGCAUCAGCUGAUGAUGACAGCAGAGAGUGGCAGGGCUGAGGACCCAAAGUCAUUUCCCAGGCUGGCGGAGAAUAAACUGCCAGGGAGAAGAAUGAGAAGACAGGAGACAAACUGUUUGGAAAGCUAAAUCUUCCCUCUUAAUGAAUAAAGGUUUUUGCCUUGUCUUAAA